rnacentral:rRNA from 1 species
AUGGACACGAGAGCUACGAACCACCUCACCAACGACAUGGGCAAGCUCUCCACUCAGGAGCCAUAUCGUGGCCAUGAUCAGGUGCACACCGCCAAUGGAGCAGGUAUGCACAUCUCUCAUGUUGGUCAGGCAUCACUUCUUGCACACAAUUCACGUAAACUGCAUCUUUCUAAUGUUCUUCAUAUUCCCACUGCUUCGCGUAGUUUGUUAUCUGUUCCACAACUUACUCGUGAUAAUAAUGUUCUUGCUGAGUUUUACCCAUUUCAUUUCUUUAUCAAGGAUCAGGACACGAGGGCCGUUCUGCUUAGCGGUCGUCUUCGUGGUGGCUUGUACGCACUUGAUGCGCCAACCGCACCUCCUAUGCAGUUUUCUCCUCAGGCGUUCAGCGGUGUUCGUGUGUCAUCUACACAUUGGCAUGCGCGCCUUGGUCAUCCUGCUGCUCCUAUAGUUCGUCAUGUGUUGCAUCGCCAUAAACUACCAGUUGUGUCAAAUAAAACUGCUGAAACUAUUUUUGAUGCCUAUCAGCAGGGCAAGCAUCAUCAACUUCCGUUUUCAGAGUAUAGUCGUGUUGUGAAACAUCCUCUUGAGCUUGUGUUUUCUGAUGUGUGGGGUCAUGCCCAAACAUCUGUCAGUGGCUGA